rnacentral:rRNA from 1 species
CCAGACUCCUACGGGAGGCAGCAGUGGGGAAUAUUGCACAAUGGGCGAAAGCCUGAUGCAGCAACGCCGCGUGAAGGAAGAAGGUCUUCGGAUCGUAAACUUCUGUCCUUGGGGAAGAUAAUGACGGUACCCUUGGAGGAAGCCCCGGCUAACUACGUGCCAGCAGCCGCGGUAAUACGUAGGGGGCAAGCGUUAUCCGGAUUUACUGGGUGUAAAGGGAGCGUAGGCGGGGAUGCAAGUUGGGUGUUAAAUCUACCGGCUCAACUGGUAGUCGCACUCAAAACUGCAGCUCUUGAGUGAAGUAGAGGCAGGCGGAAUUCCUAGUGUAGCGGUGAAAUGCGUAGAUAUUAGGAGGAACACCAGUGGCGAAGGCGGCCUGCUGGGCUUUUACUGACGCUGAGGCUCGAAAGUGUGGGGAGCAAACAGGAUUAGAUACCCUGGUAUC